rnacentral:rRNA from 2 species
ACGUAUGGUGCAAGCGUUAUCCGGAUUUACUGGGUGUAAAGGGAGCGUAGACGGAUGGGCAAGUCUGAUGUGAAAACCCGGGGCUCAACCCCGGGACUGCAUUGGAAACUGUUCAUCUAGAGUGCUGGAGAGGUAAGUGGAAUUCCUAGUGUAGCGGUGAAAUGCGUAGAUAUUAGGAGGAACACCAGUGGCGAAGGCGGCUUACUGGACAGUAACUGACGUUGAGGCUCGAAAGCGUGGGGAGCAAACAG